rnacentral:rRNA from 1 species
AUCCUGGCUCAGGAUGAACGCUAGCUACAGGCUUAACACAUGCAAGUCGAGGGGCAGCAUGUUGGUUGCUUGCAACCAAUGAUGGCGACCGGCGCACGGGUGAGUAACGCGUAUCCAACUUCCCCUUAGUAGAGGAUAGCCCGGCGAAAGUCGGAUUAAUACUCUAUGUUCUUCAAUGCGGACAUCUAAGUUGAAGCAAAGAUUUAUCGCUAAGGGAUGGGGAUGCGUCUGAUUAGGUUGCAGGCGGGGUAACGGCCCACCUGGCCUACGAUCAGUAGGGGUUCUGAGAGGAAGGUCCCCCACACUGGUACUGAGACACGGACCAGACUCCUACGGGAGGCAGCAGUGAGGAAUAUUGGUCAAUGGGCGCGAGCCUGAACCAGCCAAGUAGCGUGCAAGGACGACUGCCCUAUGGGUUGUAAACUGCUUUUAUCAGGGAAUAAAGUGAGGCACGCGUGCCUUUUUGUAUGUACCUGAUGAAUAAGGACCGGCUAAUUCCGUGCCAGCCGCCGC